rnacentral:rRNA from 1 species
UGGGGAAUAUUGCACAAUGGGCGCAAGCCUGAUGCAGCCAUGCCGCGUGUAUGAAGAAGGCCUUCGGGUUGUAAAGUACUUUCAGUCGGGAGGAAGGUGGUAAGGUUAAUAACCUUAUCAAUUGACGUUACCGACAGAAGAAGCACCGGCUAACUCCGUGCCAGCAGCCGCGGUAAUACGGAGGGUGCAAGCGUUAAUCGGAAUUACUGGGCGUAAAGCGCACGCAGGCGGUUGAUUGAGUCAGAUGUGAAAUCCCCGGGCUUAACCCGGGAAUUGCAUCUGAUACUGGUCAGCUAGAGUCUUGUAGAGGGGGGUAGAAUUCCAUGAGUAGCGGUGAAAUGCGUAGAGAUGUGGAGGAAUACCGGUGGCGAAGGCGGCCCCCUGGACAAAGACUGACGCUCAGGUGCGAAAGCGUGGGGAGCAAACAGG